rnacentral:rRNA from 1 species
UACGAAGGGGGGCUAGCGUUGCUCGGAAUGACUGGGCGUAAAGGGCGCGUAGGCGGCUUGUAUAGUCGGAUGUGAAAUUCCUGGGCUUAACCUGGGGGCUGCAUACGAGACGUAUGGGCUUGAGUGCGGAAGAGGGUCGUGGAAUUCCCAGUGUAGAGGUGAAAUUCGUAGAGAUUGGGAAGAACACCGGUGGCGAAAGCGCUCUACUGGGCCUGCACUGACACUCAUGGACGAAAGCUAGGGGAGCGAAAGGG